CUCUUCGCAGCGCCGCCGCCGCCGCCACGCCCUCCCAGAUCUCAGAUCCCAUCUCCUCUCUUCCGCAUCCUCCACCCCACCCCCAGCCUUAUCGCCGCGCCCCGCGCCUGAGCGCCUCACGUCAGCCGCCGCGCCCGUUCCCCCGAGACCCCGCCGUCAAUCCGUCCCCGAGCCCUCCGCCUCAGUCGAGCCGCAUCUCCUUCUGCUGGAUCUCGUCCGGAUGACGGGCGCCGUCUGCCGGUUUUGUCGGGGAGCCCGGCGGCUCUGUGGUGUUCAAGCAGGAACCUCAUGCUACCGGCAGGAUGCGGCGCUUGCUUGAACAUCCCAGAGCCACCGGCGUGCCAAAAUUCACGCAGAAGGAGACCCCUCGAGGAGUGAUCCGCCAAGCUGGAGUACCUGAACGUCUUCUUCAAGUACUCCACUUUUUUUUCUUGCGGAGAAAAAGGUGGAAUACCUGAAGAAGAUUUUCAGGUAGUCCAUUAGAAAGCUCACCAUAUUACCUCCAAGACCGUGCUGCAUCCCGCAGAGGCGCGUCCCUAAAUCAUGUCUUCCUCAUCAAUAAAGAACAACACUUGAUUACGCUUCAACACGUUAGCCGUGUUGUGCCACUCCCUCCGCCGGUAGUGGUGCAGGUGUCGGAUUAUCCGACCCUCUUCCCCUUGUCUUGGCGGCGGGUGGGCCAGCCAAAGGCCCAGGCCAAGGCGCCUGGGGCGACCUCCGGCUGCCCUCUGCUCGGCUGUGGGCCGAAUGGCUGGCUGAGCCGAAAUUCAUUUUUUUUCUCUAAUACCAGAACAUAUGUGUGACGUGAUAUAUUUUCAUGUUCUACAUGUUGAAAUCAUACAUAUAAUAUUUGCGAUUGAGAUUUUCUUUAUCUCUUGCAAAGCUAAA